rnacentral:rRNA from 1 species
CGCGGCCUAUCAGCUUGUUGGUGAGGUAACGGCUCACCAAGGCGAUGACGGGUAGCUGGCGUGAGAGCGCGAUCAGCCACACUGGGACUGAGACACGGCCCAGACUCCUACGGGAGGCAGCAGUGGGGAAUCUUGCGCAAUGGGCGAAAGCCUGACGCAGCGACGCCGCGUGGGGGAGGAAGGCCCUAGGGUUGUAAACCCCUGUCAGGUGGGACGAACCGGGGAUCGGCGAAAGCCGGUUCCUCUGACGGUACCACCAGAGGAAGCUCCGGCUAACUCCGUGCCAGCAGCCGCGGUAAAACGGAGGGAGCGAGCGUUGUUCGGAAUUACUGGGCGUAAAGGGCGCGUAGGCGGCUUUGUAAGUCGUAUGUGAAAGGCCGGGGCUCAACCCCGAGUAUUGCAUGCGAUACUGCAUGGCUAGAGACAGGUAGGGGCGAGCGGAAUUCCCGGUGUAGCGGUGGAAUGCGUAGAUAUCGGGAAGAACACCGGUGGCGAAGGCGGCUCGCUGGGCCUGUUCUGACGCUGAAGCGCGAAAGCGUGGGGAGCGAACAGGAUUAGAUACCCUGGUAGUCCACGCCGUAAACGCUGGGUACUAGACGUUGGGAGGCUUGGCCCUCUCGGUGUCGCAGCUAACGCAUUAAGUACCCCGCCUGGGGAGUACGG